UACAGAGGGUGCAAGCGUUAAUCGGAAUUACUGGGCGUAAAGCGCACGUAGGUGGCUGGGUAAGUUGGAUGUGAAAUCCCCGGGCUUAACUUGGGAAUUGCAUUCAAGACUGCUUUGCUAGAGUGUGGAAGAGGGAAGCGGAAUUCCAGGUGUAGCGGUGAAAUGCGUAGAUAUCUGGAGGAACAUCAGUGGCGAAGGCGGCUUCCUGGUCCAACACUGACACUGAGGUGCGAAAGCGUGGGGAGCAAACAGG
rnacentral:rRNA from 1 species